rnacentral:rRNA from 1 species
UAGGGAAUCUUCGGCAAUGGACGAAAGUCUGACCGAGCAACGCUGCGUGAGUGAAGAAGGUUUUCGGAUCGUAAAACUCUGUUGGUAGAGAAGAACGUUGGUGAGAGUGGAAAGCUCAUCAAGUGACGGUAACUACCCAGAAAGGGACGGCUAACUACGUGACAG